AACUGUCGGUCCGGCGUCAAUGGGUUAUCUUGUCAAACCCCCCAUUGGCACUAACUUGAUCGUUGU
rfam:Caenorhabditis tropicalis strain JT1373 unplaced genomic scaffold Scaffold630, whole genome shotgun sequence.